AGAGUGCAGGAGGUUUUUGUACGGCCAUUUAAUGAGUUUGUAUCACUGUGGUGGACUUUUGGUGGAGGAACCAAACUCAUCGUUGACUCGGGUGUGGUGAGGCCCACUCUGACCGUGCUCCCACACCAGAGCAGUGGCACUCUGGUGUGUCUGGCCAGUGGGAGUUUCCCAUCAAAUUGGAAGCUGGGCUGGAAGGUGGAAGGCACCAGCACAUCCUCAGGGGUGUCAAACAGCUUGGAGGCCCAGGGUACAGACGGUCGCUACAGCUGGAGCAGCACCCUGAGCCUCUCUGCAGACCAGUGGAGGAAGGCGGGCUCAGUGACCUGUGAGGCCAGUCUGAGUGGACAGAGCCCCGUCACUCAAACCCUGGACCCUGACCACUGCUCAGAGUAGAGCUUCAACAAUAUUUCAUGGCUGUGAAGCGUUUUAUAUUUUGAUGAAGCUACAUGUCUCCUCUGUUGCGAUAUUUCUGCACAUG